ACUGUCCUUGGACUCAAACUGUAAUUUUUUCCUGAGCCCCCAGCCUGAUGGCCUCCCGCAUCAGAUGUUGGACUCACCAAGCCUCCACAAUUAUAUGAGCCCAUUCUCUAAAGUAAGUAUCUUUUAUACACACACACAUUCUAUUGUUUCUCUUUCUCUGGAAAACUCAGACUUAUACAGAUGGUCAUAUAUGCAAAUGUCCAUGUUAGAGGUGAAGCUACAAUAUUUGUCCUGAGAACUGGGUUGUUUUGUCAUAACAAACUACACCAAAACUCAGUGACUUAAAAUAACAGUUCUGUUACUAUUUCUUGUAAUUCUUCCAUUGUGGCUGGGCUUAGCUGAAUGGUUGUUCUGCUGAUCUUACCAGAGGUCACUUGUAUCGGUGCAUUCAGCUGAACAGUCUGCUAGGGCCUGGGCUCAGUUGGGGUGCUGGGAUGGUUGGUCUUUCCAUCCAUUUUGUCUCAGGGCCUCUCCCUUCCUUCUGACCUCCCUGACUGCCCCUCUAGGGGUCUCUCCAUGUGAUCCCUUCAUCAGGGUAGGUGAACUUCUUACAUAGAAGCUCAGGGUAUCAAAGUGCAAAAGCAGAAGCUGCAAGGCUUUCUUAAGGCUAAAGCCCAGAAUUGGUAUAGUGUAACUUCCAUCACAGUUUAUCGGUUAAAACAAAUCACAGAACCAGCCCAGAUUCAGGAUGCAUCCAAGAACAUGCAUACUGCAAGGCAUGGUUUAUCAAGGGCCAUGGCCUUAUUUAACAACAACACAGCCUGAGUGUACCCUUAUGCAAUGGCAUCCUUCAGUUCUAUCACCACAGAAGGUAAAUUGAGGUCCACUGACUUUAAAAUGAUGCCAUAUGGUAGCCAAUGGAAAACCAGUGUGGUGAGAUGGAUUUCCUCACUGGACACAGACUCAGUCUCACAAAAUCCUAGUGGCAUUGUGAAUGGUGUUUUCUCAUUAGCUCUCAUCAGCACCUAGCAUCUGUAUAUUUAUCAUUUUACUCUCCCUGCUCAGAUUGGUCUGUUGACUCUCAUUUCAUGAUUGACGAUAACCAGAUUCUCACCAAUAAUGGGGCAUAGAGGAUUAAAGCAAUUAACCUGAUAGUUCAUUCCAACAGCAUAUUUCCUAUAGUAUCUAUUAAUGUCUUCAUUUUAUCACUCAAAUAAUCAAGUGCAAGUUGGAACUCUGGAUAACUUAUCGUAAGACAGACUUGAUGCUCCAUUGGCUUUAGUAACCCGGCUCCCUUGCCUGGUGUUGUCUGUGGAACCCCAUGUACUUUGCAAUUUCCAAAAAGGUGAAGCACUUUUGAGCCACUGUGAAUGUCAUCAGCAGUCCCUAAGAAGAGCAUCUGGGAGCUGCUGAAGGCAAGAACAGUGCAGGAGAGCCAGGCAGGGGAGCACAUAGCGUGGAGCAUCCCAGGCCAGGCUCUGUGGGAUGUUUUGGGCACUAGACCCUCUGGGUAGCUGGCUUGGCAAGGCAAGAAACAUGGCAACCAGAACCUUCUCCAAGACUCCAAGCCAAAACCUGCCCCAGACUUGGCUACUUGGUUGUACCUGUAAGAGCCCAGGAGUACAUUUGAUAUAGUUUGGAUUUGUGUCCCCACCCAAACCUCAUGUUGAGAUAUAAUCCCCAGUGUUGCUGGUGGGGCCUGGUGGGAGGUGACUGGAUCAUGGGGCUGAAUUUUCCUCUUUGGUGCUAUUCUCAUAAUAGAGUUCUCACAAGAUCCAGUUGUUUAGAAGUGUGUGGGACCUGCCCCCUCACUCCCUUCCUCCUGCUCCAGCCAUGUGACAUGCGUGUGCUUCCCCUUCACAUUCCACCAUGAUUGGUCUUGCUGUCCACUCCAGGCUGGAGUGCAGUGGUGCAAUCUCAGCUUACUACGGCCUCCACCUCCUGGGCUCAAGCAAUCCUCCCACCUCAGCCUCCUGAGUAGCUGAGACUACAGACAUGUCCUGCCAUACCCAGUCUUUUUUUUUUUCCAUUUUUUGUAGCGACAGGAUCUUGCUGUUUCCCGAACUCAUCUAGAACACCUGGGCUGAAGCAACCCUCCCUCCUCAGCCUCCCAAAGCACUUGGAUUACAGGCUUGAGCCACUGUGCCUGGCCAGGAAUAAAUUUCUAACCCAUCCCAUGACUCCCAGCAGAAGGAAAGUCUAAAUUUAGCCAUAGUUUCAGAAACAAUGCCCUUACAUGACGUGAAAUAAACAGGUCUUUAAGAGAGAGGUGCCAGCUCCUCGUUCGUGGAUGCAUUUGUCCACCUAGGAAUAGACACACGCUGCACAUUUCCUGCAUGCUGGGCUCUGUAAGGAGGAAGGGAGAGGCCCCUGCUUGGAGAAGCUUUCCAUCCAACAGAUGUGGAUGCUACCUAUGCCACCAGUGUCAAACAUAACUUCAGGAUCACAGAAGAGGCCGAGAGUGCUAAAAGGUCACGCUGGAAUGAAGCAUAUGAGGUGAGAACAUAGCAAGAAGCUACCAUCUGUGCACCAGGAAAUGGGCCCUCACAAGACAUCAAAUCUGCCAGCCACCUCAAUGGUGGGCUUUCCAGCCUCCAGAACUGUGAGAAAUAAAUUUCUGUUUUUAUAAGCCACCUGGUUUAUGGUAUUUUGUUACAGCAACCUAAACAGACUAAGACAAUUGGCAAGAUCAGAUGUAUUUGGCAAAGAUUUGCAUAGACUAGAGUCCCGCUGUGUGGCUGGAGCAAGGGAAGCUUGCGCUGUGCCUCAGGUUGAUCCAGUCCUUACCUUGUGGCCUUGCCCGAUCCUCACAGCACCCCUCGGUGGUGAGAAUGAUUAUCUCCAUUCUAUGGAUGAGGAUAUGGAUAACCAGAGAGGUUAAGUGAACAGCCUCAGAUCACACAGCCAAUUCAAGUCAGGGCUGCUGCAGAGAGCCUGAAACAGGGGGAUCCUGGGAGGGAAGGAAGAGCAUGCAUCCUCUCACCCAAAACAGAUGUCUGGCUGAGUUCCAAAAGCAAAAGUACUCUGAGUGGGUCCCACCCCUGAUGGGGAAGGCAGCCCCCUGGCCACCAGCCUGGGGAGGCCACACAGUUGCUGCUAUCCCAUGGGCAGCUGGCCCCUUCCUCCCACAAACAGCAGCACCUGCUCACCAGAUCACCAGGCAGAGGCAAGAUGAAUGUUCGCAGCACCACGUCCUGCUGAAGCUCUACACAAACACAGCACCCAUGGCAACCAAACAGAGGGCAAACACAGGAGCAGGAAUGCCGCUGUGAGAACAAGGCCCAGGAGUGACAGCCACGAGCCACCCACUUUAUGGGCACUUACUAAGUGCCAGGCGCCACAUCAAGGAUUAAAUACCUUAUUUAAUCAUCGAUGCAGCCUGAUGAGGAAUGUGCCAUUGCUGCCCGCUUUAACAACAACGAAACAGACAUGAGCAGAGUUGAUGGAAGCUGUGUAAGGAGAGAACCAAAGGCUCUGUCUGAGCCCGGGUGUCUGAUGCCACAACCCAGCCACAAUCUCCAUGCUACCAUUUCCCCUGACAGACACCGAAGUAACACAGCCCCUCGGGAGAGCUGGGCCCCCAAGUUAGGGACAGGUAAAUGGCGACACAGAAUAUAAGCUCCUCCAAGGCAGGAAUUUUGUGUUUUGCUCAUUGAUGGGAAGCAAGCUUCUACAAUAGUGCCAGGCAGGUGGAUGACUUUGAAUAAGUAUUUGUUGGCCAGGGGCGGUGGCUCACACUUGAAAUCCUUGCACUUUGGGAGGCUGAGGCAGGUGGGUUGCUUGAGCCCAGGGGAUUGAGACCAGCCUGGGCAGCAUGGUGAAACCCUGUCUCUACAAAAAAUACACACAAAAAAAUUAACCAAGCAUGGUGGCGGUUGCCUGUAGUCCCAGCUGCUUGGGAGUCU
rnacentral:lncRNA from 10 species